rnacentral:rRNA from 1 species
AUGGAUGAUUUCAGGCCAUCGAGGGGACUACGUAAAGGGGAUCCUAGCUCUCCCUACUUGUUUCUUUUGGCAGCGGAAGGCUUAUCUUGUUUGCUAAAGUCGCAAAAUAUUGGAGUACAGGGACUGACUGUUGCGCCGACGGCCCCAGCAAUCAAUCAUCUGUUGUUCGCCGACGACUGCCUUUUGUUCUUUGAGGCCACAAGUGCGAGUACAGAAAGGGUACGGGAUCUUUUGAAGCUAUAUUGCGAUGCGUCGGGCCAGCGCAUCAAUACCGACAAGUCAGCUAUUUAUUUUAGCAAAAUGGUUCCAGCGACGCAGCGUACUGAGAUAAAGAAUGUGCUUGAUGUUCAGAAUGAGGCUCUGGCUGAGUAUUUAGGCCUUCCAACUGAUGUUGGAAAGGCCAAAGAGGGCUGCUUCCGGUACCUGAAGGAUAGGAUCUGGAAGCACAUU